rnacentral:rRNA from 1 species
AUUGAACGCUGGCGGCAUGCCUUACACAUGCAAGUCGAACGGCAGCGCGGGAGCAAUCCUGGCGGCGAGUGGCGAACGGGUGAGUAAUAUAUCGGAACGUGCCCAGUAGUGGGGGAUAGCCCGGCGAAAGCCGGAUUAAUACCGCAUACGACCUGAGGGUGAAAGGGGGGGAUCGCAAGACCUCUCGCUAUUGGAGCGGCCGAUAUCAGAUUAGGUAGUUGGUGGGGUAAAGGCCUACCAAGCCUGCGAUCUGUAGUUGGUCUGAGAGGACGACCAGCCACGCUGGGACUGGGACACGGCCCAGACUCCUACGGGAGGCAGCAGUGGGGAAUUUUGGACAAUGGGCGCAAGCCUGAUCCAGCAAUGCCGCGUGCAGGAAGAAGGCCUUCGGGUUGUAAACUGCUUUUGUCAGGGAAGAAAUCCUCUAGGCUAAUACCUUGGGGGGAUGACGGUACCUGAAGAAUAAGCACCGGCUAACUACGUGCCAGCCGCCGCGGUAACAC